rnacentral:rRNA from 1 species
UUUCGGAUGGAAUUCGAUUGACUGAGUGGCGGACGGGUGAGUAACGCGUGGAUAACCUGCCUCACACUGGGGGAUAACAGUUAGAAAUGACUGCUAAUACCGCAUAAGCGCACAGUACCGCAUGGUACAGUGUGAAAAACUCCGGUGGUGUGAGAUGGAUCCGCGUCUGAUUAGCCAGUUGGCGGGGUAACGGCCCACCAAAGCGACGAUCAGUAGCCGACCUGAGAGGGUGACCGGCCACAUUGGGACUGAGACACGGCCCAAACUCCUACGGGAGGCAGCAGUGGGGAAUAUUGCACAAUGGGCGAAAGCCUGAUGCAGCGACCCCGCGUGAGUGAAGAAGUAUUUCGGUAUGUAAAGCUCUAUCAGCAGGGAAGAAAAUGACGGUACCUGACUAAGAAGCCCCGGCUAACUACGUGCCAGCAGCCGCGGUAAUACGUAGGGGGCAAGCGUUAUCCGGAUUUACUGGGUGUAAAGGGAGCGUAGACGGCGAAGCAAGUCUGAAGUGAAAACCCAGGGCUCAACCCUGGGACUGCUUUGGAAACUGUUUUG